GCCUCCUUAGCUCAGUUGGUAGAGCAUCAGUCUCAUAUGGCAAAGAAAUGUGUGCGCUGAGUGUCAUCAGUUCGAUCCUGAUAGGGGGCA